rnacentral:misc_RNA from 1 species
GAUGAAGAACGUAGCGAAAUGCGAUAAGUAAUGUGAGUUGCAGAAUUCAGUGAAUCAUCGAAUCUUUGAACGCACAUUGCGCCCGCUAGUAUUCUGGCGGGCAUGCCUGUCCGAGCGUCAUUUCAACCCUCAAGCCCCCGGGCUUGGUGUUGGGGAUCGGCGAGCCUCCGCGCCCGCCGUCCCCUAAAUCUAGUGGCGGUCUCGCUGUAGCUUCCUCUGCGUAGUAGCACACCUCGCACUGGGAAACAGCGCGGCCACGCCGUUAAACCCCCAACUUCUGAACGUUUGACCUCGGAUCAGGUAGGAAUACCCGCUGAACUUAAGCAUAUCAAUAAGCGGAGGA